rnacentral:rRNA from 1 species
CAAUAGCGUAUAUUUAAGUUGCUGCAGUUAAAAAGCUCGUAGUUGGAUUUCGGGUGGGAAUGGCCGGUCCGCCGUUUCGGUGUGCACUUGCUACGCCCACCUUGCUGCCGGGGACGUGCUCUUAAGUUCACGCUCGGGACACGGAGUCGGCGAGGUUACUUUGAGUAAAUUAGAGUGUUCAAAGCAGGCCUACGCUCUGAAUACAUUAGCAUGGAAUAACACGAUAGGACUCUGGCCUAUCUUGUUGGUCUGUAGGACCGGAGUAAUGAUUAAGAGGGACAGUCGGGGGCAUUCGUAUUUCAUUGUCAGAGGUGAAAUUCUUGGAUUUAUGAAAGACGAACUACUGCGAAAGCAUUUGCCAAGGAUGUUUUCAUUAA